rnacentral:rRNA from 1 species
GUGCCAGCCGCCGCGGUAAUACGUAGGUGGCGAGCGUUGUCCGGAAUUAUUGGGCGUAGAGGGCGCGUAGGCGGUUACUUAAGUCAGAUGUGAAAUCCCGAGGCUUAACUUCGGGCGUGCAUUUGAAACUGGGUGGCUAGAGUGCAGGAGAGGUAAGUGGAAUUCCUAGUGUAGCGGUGAAAUGCGUAGAUAUUAGGAGGAACACCAGUGGCGAAGGCGACUUACUGGACUGUAACUGACGCUGAGGCGCGAAAGCGUGGGGAGCAAACAGGAUUAGAAACCCUGGUAGUCC